AUUGAACGCUGGCGGCAGGCCUAACACAUGCAAGUCGAACGGUAACAGGAAGCAGCUUGCUGCUUCGCUGACGAGUGGCGGACGGGUGAGUAAUGUCUGGGAAACUGCCUGAUGGAGGGGGAUAACUACUGGAAACGGUAGCUAAUACCGCAUAACGUCGCAAGACCAAAGAGGGGGACCUUAGGGCCUCUUGCCAUCGGAUGUGCCCAGAUGGGAUUAGCUAGUAGGUGGGGUAACGGCUCACCUAGGUGACGAUCCCUAGCUGGUCUGAGAGGAUGACCAGCCACACUGGAACUGAGACACGGUCCAGACUCCUACGGGAGGCAGCAGUGGGGAAUAUUGCACAAUGGGCGCAAGCCUGAUGCAGCCAUGCCGCGUGUAUGAAGAAGGCCUUCGGGUUGUAAAGUACUUUCAGCGGGGAGGAAGGGAGUAAAGUUAAUACCUUUGCUCAUUGACGUUACCCGCAGAAGAAGCACCGGCUAACUCCGUG
rnacentral:rRNA from 1 species